GCCGGGCGUGGUGGCGCAUGCCUGUAAUCCCAGCUACUCGGGAGGCUGAGGCAGGAGAAUUGCUUGAACCUGGGAGGUGGAGGUUGCAGUGAGCCGAGAUCGCAUCACUGCACUCCAGCCCGGACGACAGAGCGAGACUCUGUCUCAA
ensembl:misc_RNA Metazoa_SRP Metazoan signal recognition particle RNA